rnacentral:rRNA from 1 species
AUUGAACGCUGGCGGCAUGCCUUACACAUGCAAGUCGAACGGCAGCACGGGAGCAAUCCUGGUGGCGAGUGGCGAACGGGUGAGUAACAUAUCGGAACGUACCCAGUCGUGGGGGAUAACGUAGCGAAAGUUGCGCUAAUACCGCAUACGAUCUUUGGAUGAAAGCGGGGGAUCGCAAGACCUCGCGCGAAUGGAGCGGCCGAUAUCAGAUUAGGUAGUUGGUGAGGUAAGGGCUCACCAAGCCGACGAUCUGUAGCUGGUCUGAGAGGACGACCAGCCACACUGGGACUGCGACACGGACCAGACUCCUACGGGAGGCAGCAGUGGGGAAUUUUGGACAAUGGGCGCAAGCCUGAUCCAGCAAUGCCGCGUGCAGGACGAAGGCCUUCGGGUUGUAAACUGCUUUUGUACGGAACGAAACGGCCUUUUCUAAUACAAGAGGCUAAUGACGGUACCGUAAGAAUAAGCACCGGCUAACUACGUGCCAGCAGCCGCCGUAAAAC